UACGUAGGGGGCUAGCGUUGUCCGGAUUUACUGGGCGUAAAGGGCGUGCAGGCGGUUUGUUAAGUCUAGGGUGAAAGCUCCCGGCUCAACUGGGAGAGGUCCUUGGAUACUGGCGAACUUGAGGGGUGCAGAGGAAAGUGGAAUUCCCGGUGUAGUGGUGAUAUGCGUAGAUAUCGGGAGGAACACCAGUGGCGAAGGCGGCUUUCUGGGCAUUUCCUGACGCUGAGACGCGAAAGCGUGGGGAGCGAACCGG
rnacentral:rRNA from 1 species